AGACAGGAAGAACAAUGGUAGAGUGGCUGAGCACAAACGAUGGAAAAAAGCACUUGGAAGACCUCUCAAGAGGAACAGCAUGAGAGAGGCUGGCAGAGAAAAGGAGCCAGGGACACAGCAGGGACAAAGAGGAAAGCCUGACAGCUGCUGCCUAGGCAGGAAUGCAAAAUGGCUGUGCAGAAAAGCAUGCGGGAUCUGCCCAAGCGGGGCAGCGGCUGAGGGGGCCCUGGAUACCUUCCCCAUCUCUUGCUGCCUCCUGUCCAGAUCGGG
rnacentral:lncRNA from 1 species